rnacentral:tRNA from 1 species
UGUGGCUCAGUGGCAGAGCACUUGCCUAGCAUGCACAAGGCCCUGGGUUCAAUCCCCAGCA